GGCAAGCCCCACGCCUAACCCGCCUACCGAGGGUGACUGCACCGCUGUCACGCCUACAACGUAGGGCGGAGAAACCCCUGUGGCUUCGGCAGCGACCGCAAAACGCUGCUGCUGGGCAACGGGAGGUAUCUUGAACUGAGCUACAACAGCCGCCCGAUCAACUCCUCAGCCUCUCUCCCCUCCCACUCCAUGCUGCUUUCCUACAGCCUCACCUGUGCCCCCUUCCAUCUCUGCCACGUGCCGCCCCCUACUCUGUCGCUCCCCCAGCCUCAUCACCACACCCCACCCGCUUCAUCCAGUCUCCCUCACCGUGACCUGUCACGCUCCUACCUAGCCCCUACACCCCCGCACAACGCCUGUCCUCCUCCCUGAUCCUCCCACACUUUCUACCCCACUACAUGCUGUACCCGCCCCUCUCCCACAAUCCUCAUUCCUUACCCACCUCACCCCGACCUAUAGCCGCCCUCGCAGCCAUCUCACACCACCCCCUUUCUCAUAGACACCCUAUACCAGCCCCUAUUCCUCACCCACACAACCUGUACCAUACAGAUCCCUCAACCCUCUCCCCAGGUACACCAUCAACAUUUACCUUCCUCUUUGUAUACAUUCCCACCCCAACCCAUUUCCCUCCAGGCAGACACACUUUUGUCUCAUUCCAUACUCCUUGCUGCACACAGACCUCUUGCUACAUCCUGUAUCCUUCUCUUCACUAAAACACACCUCUGUUCACCAUAACUCAUCCUCUUACACACACAUACAUGCAACCUCUACACUUCCUACACCCAGACAACCACAACCUAUAGCUUUCCUUACAUAGAUACUCUUGCCAUAAGCCAAAGCUGGUGUCAUCUCUGGCCUGUUGAAUGAUGACGUCGCGUGCUGAGAAAAUGUGCACUGAUGCCCAAAUUGCAGAUGUCCUGAAUAGGGACCUGCACUGAGAAAGCAGCUGACAAUGCCUGCGAUCUCAUAGAACAAAUGAUCAGGUUAAUUGGAGGUGGAGCACCUGCCUGAUCAUAAUACAAAGAAUAAAAUUCUCUAAGCAGAGAGAGGAAGGCCUCCAAGCCUAUUAGUUACCACUAUAAACAGCUGGCUAGAUCUAUAGAAUGUCUCAGUCCUUUCUCUGUAGAACACUAGGACCUGCCUCAUAUCUAAUGAGUGAAGACAUUGCUCCUCUAUUCACAUGCGGUUUCAGGCAGAAAACCAAACUGAAAAUUGCUUGACUGCAAUGGAACUGUGAAUCAUUUCCAGGAGGAAAGAGAUUGCAGGUGAAACAGACAUCACACAGGAGAAGAGACACCUGGAGUGAAGAAUGUGACAGCGAAAUUGGGCUCUAGGAAGACCAGAUGGAGAACUGCUUCUAUUUUGCAAGAUUGAACAUCGUUGGAUUAAUCGUUUGUGGUAAAGCCUUUUGGUUUUGACUUGUGUGCCACCACGUGUGGAAUCAUCUCACGUACGGGUUUUUGAGCUACAGUCAUUACUUUUGGACUUAGACUUUAUCAGCCAUCACCACCACCCCACUUCCGUACCGGACAGAUUUGUUGGCAAGCCAUCCAUUCCUGUAUCCUGGAAGAACCACUACCCAACGAUCAAGGAUCUUCCGGCAGCCCUCGGCCAGAAGGUGAGGAUACUGCGUUGAGGGAUCUCCCAGUUGGUCCUCCUUUGAGGCUUAAAAUUAGCCAAGAAGCAGUAGGUCACGGGUGCCUAUCGCCUGACAUUUUGUAACAUAUCUUUUUGUAUUGGGAUCUUUUUUUAUCUUCUUUAUAUCUUGGGAUAAGGUGGGUUAUAUUCAUUGCUCCUGUUUUUGCUGUUUAUAUUCUAAAAUACAUGGUUUGCCCCUAAACUUUGUAUUGCCUGAUUACUGGAUCAGUAGUCCGCCAGUGAUAGAGAUACGGAUUACCAGGCAAGCCUCGCUUUUGAUUCAGUGAUCAGUUAUAACUAGUCAGAGCGAUUCUAAAUCUAUUCUAAAUUAACGUUAUAUCAUUCCCUAGGUAACUACUUCCUAAAUCAUUUUCAUACUUGCUAACAUUUGAAAUCCACAAACAGGGAUAUUUGAGGAAGAAAAAUAGACUUACUCCAUUGAAAUUCUAGAGGUAACCACUUUUUGUAAAAUAUAGGGAUGUACAUUCUAAAUUAAGAGUUACUCACCCUGUGCAGUAAUGAUGGUUCUUCAAGAUGUGUCCCCCUGUAGGUGCUCCACUCAGGUCUCGGUGUGUCCUUGAGCUGCUGAU